AGAGUUUGAUCCUGGCUCAGGAUGAACGCUGGCGGUCUGCUUAACACAUGCAAGUCGAACGAAUCCUUUCGGGGAUUAGUGGCGGACGGAUGAGUAACGCGUGAGAAUCUGCCAAAAGGACUGGGACAACCACUGGAAACGGUGGCUAAUACCAGAUGUGCCGCAACGUAAAAGAGGAAACUCGCCUUUUGAGGAGCUCGCGUCUGAUUAGCUAGUUGGUGAGGUAAAAGCUCACCAAGGCAACGAUCAGUAGCUGGUCUGAGAGGACGACCAGCCACACUGGGACUGAGACACGGCCCAGACUCCUACGGGAGGCAGCAGUGGGGAAUUUUCCGCAAUGGGCGAAAGCCUGACGGAGCAAGACCGCGUGAGGGAGGAAGGCUCUUGGGUCGUAAACCUCUUUUGUCAGGGAAGAACACAAUGACGGUACCUGACGAAUCAGCAUCGGCUAACUCCGUGCCAGCAGCCGCGGUAAUACGGAGGAUGCAAGCGUUAUCCGGAAUUAUUGGGCGUAAAGCGUCCGUAGAUGGUUUUGCCAGUCGGCUGUCAAAGCACAGGGCUUAACCCUGUAAAGGCAGUGGAAACUACAAGACUAGAGUGCAGUAGGGGCAGAGGGAAUUCCCAGUGUAGCGGUGAAAUGCGUAGAGAUUGGGAAGAACACCCGUGGCGAAAGCGCUCUGCUGGACUGCUACUGACAUUGAGGGACGAAAGCUAGGGGAGCGAAUGGGAUUAGAUACCCCCGUAGUCC
rnacentral:rRNA from 1 species